rfam:Rodentibacter heidelbergensis strain Ac69 contig_3, whole genome shotgun sequence.
GUGUUGGGCUUGCUGUGGGCAGAUAAAAUGGAUAUGUGUAUCAAUUCCGCCUGCGGUAGCGAUUAAAUUAGCGCCAUUAUGCACUUCAGUACUCACACCGAUGAUCAUAUUUGGGGUAACGCCAUCCAUUGUAUCAGGGUUACCCGCCUGACCAAUUCCCACAAUACGUCCGUCACGAAUACCGAUAUCUGCUUUGAUAAUGCCAAGUUUGGCAUCAAUAAUCAUCACAUUAGUAAUAACAAAAUCUAAUACAUUAGGAUCAUCACGGGUUGCGGUGCCUGAUUGCGCCAUGCCGUCACGCAC